rnacentral:rRNA from 1 species
GACGAACGCUGGCGGCGUGCUUAACACAUGCAAGUCGAACGAAGAGCGAUGGAAGCUUGCUUCUAUCACUCUUAGUGGCGAACGGGUGAGUAACGCGUAAUCAACCUGCCCUUCAGAGGGGGACAACAGUUGGAAACGACUGCUAAUACCGCAUACGAUCUAAUCUCGGCAUCGAGGAUAGAUGAAAGGUGGCCUCUACAUGUAAGCUAUCACUGAAGGAGGGGAUUGCGUCUGAUUAGCUAGUUGGAGGGGUAACGGCCCACCAAGGCGAUGAUCAGUAGCCGGUCUUAGAGGAUGAACGGCCACAUUGGGACUGAGACACGGCCCAGACUCCUACGGGAGGCAGCAGUGGGGAAUCUUCCGCAAUGGACGAAAGUCUGACGGAGCAACGCCGCGUGGGUGAUGACGGCCUUCGGGUUGUAAAGCUCUGUUAAUCGGGACGAAAGGCCUUCUUGCGAAUAGUGAGAAGGAUUGACGGUACCGGAAUAGAAAGCCACGGCUAACUACGUG